rnacentral:autocatalytically_spliced_intron from 1 species
CUCUCUCUCUCUCUCUGGGUGAGUGCGUUGGAAUGUGGAAUGGAAUGCCGACUCGGAUUGCGACACCGUCAAAUUGCGGGAACCCCCUAAAGCCUCAUCUACCAAGUUGGAUUGGAAACAGUCCAAUGGCCGAGUUAACAGCCCUGGGUACGGUAACAACGAUGAGGAUGGAACAAUGGGCAAUCCGCAGCCAAGUCCUAAGUCGUGAACAGCUGGGGUUGUGUCACGAUAUGGAUGCAGUUCAUCGACUAAAUGGUGGU